UGAAACUUGUCUUUGGGGCAAAAGGGAUGAAUAUGUUCAGUGGCAUUAUUCCAGCCUUGUACUUGAGAUAGCUUUUCUUCUACUCCCAUUUCAAGCAAGUGCUAUUACAAGCCACAUUUAGGCACAAACAAAGCAACUAAGAAAACAGAAAUAGGCAUUAUUUCAGGCCAUGAAAACAGAACAAGAUGCAGAUGGCCUUCUUCAAAAUCUGGCUUUCUUUCAAUGCAUGUCAGCACAGCUAUAUAUCUUUCUGAGCUACUGUGACAAGAACUGAGAAUAGAUGGAUGGCUGUUUUACUGCAGGUUUUGAUAGCAGUUUUGAGAGAUUAGGGCUGUUUUGGAAAGACAAGUUUCAGAGUCUGCUUUCUGAAGGUGCUUGAGAUUAGCAAGUAACUUUAGCAACUCUGAUAUCUCCUUCAGAGACGAUUGAAGGUUGAAGGAAAAUCAGUCAUGAAAGAGAAUUUAACUAAGUUUCUUAUCCCCUCAUGUUUGUUUAGGGAGGGCAUUUUCAGAGGACUGGCAGAGCCAACUUCAUAGGAUGCAUUUCAACAAUGAGAAAGGGCUGUGAUCAAAGGGAAUUAAUAUACUCUUAAACGUGAAACAUCUACACUGACAUAGCAUGUGGCCUCUUGCAUUGGCUGGAAAGAAAUGGAAUCAGCAGCCAACAAAGCAGGGAGAAGAGCUGAAGAUCUUACUGAAGAACUUACCAAAGAUCUUAAACUGAACAUUAAUGAUUUCUUAAUGGACAAAGACUGUUGAAGCUCUGGGACAGUGGUCACAAUAUUACCUACCCUGCUAGAAAAUGCCUGACAACUCCACAAAAGACCACAAUAUUUGAUGAUUAUGGAAGUAAUAAGGGAGAGGAACAAGAGAGAGGAAAAGUUGAAACAGGCUUUGAUAUACGUUUGUGUUCUAGGGGAAGCAAAUUAGCUCCAAAAUAUGGAAAUGAAGACACAGGGUCAUUGUGUCUGGGAGACAGGAUCCACUGACAUAGCAGAGGCAAAGGAGUGGGACAUUCUGACCCAGCCAGGAACAGCACUAAGUCUCCAGGAGUGCUGUCUUCACAGAGGUAAAACUUCUUGCAGUAGGUCCUCAUGUGUUUUGUGCCAAAAGGCAGUCAUAACAACCUUUAAAAAACAAAAGGUAAUUUUAUGGCGUAGGAA
rnacentral:lncRNA from 1 species